GAUGAACGCUGACAGAAUGCUUAACACAUGCAAGUCUUUGGCGAAGCUGUGCUUGCACCGCCUAGCCAAGGCGGACGGGUGAGUAACGCGUAAGGAACUUGCCCUGCAGUCAGGGAUAACAGACGGAAACGACUGAUAAGACCUGGUAAAGUCAGGCGGACUCAUGUCCAGCCUGAUGAAAAGAGAUGCUGCAGGAGAGCCUUGCGUCCGAUUAGCUUGUUGGUGGGGUAACGGCCCACCAAGGCGAUGAUAGGUAGCCGGCCUGAGAGGGUGGACGGCCACAAGGGGACUGAGAUACGGCCCUUACUCCUACGGGAGGCAGCAGUGGGGAAUAUUGGACAAUGGGGGCAACCCUGAUCCAGCAAUUCUGUGUGCACGAUGAAGGUUUUCGGAUUGUAAAGUGCUUUCAGCAGGGAAGAAAAAAAUGACGGUACCUGCAGAAGAAGCGACGGCUAAAUACGUG
rnacentral:rRNA from 1 species